rnacentral:rRNA from 1 species
GACGAACGCUGGCGGCGUGCUUAACACAUGCAAGUCGAGCGGUAAGGCCCUUUCGGGGGGUACACGAGCGGCGAACGGGUGAGUAACACGUGGGUGACCUGCCCUCAGCUCUGGGAUAAGCCUGGGAAACCGGGUCUAAUACUGGAUAUGACUCCAUGACGCACGUUGUGGGGGUGGAAAGCCUUGUGCGGCUGGAGGAUGGGCCCGCGGCCUAUCAGCUUGGUUGGGUGGGGUGAUGGCCUACCAAGGCGACGACGGGUAGCCGGCCUGAGAGGGCGACCGGCCACAC